rnacentral:rRNA from 1 species
CAGUAGCCGCGGUAAUACGAAGGGGGCUAGCGUUGCUCGGAAUUACUGGGCGUAAAGGGAGCGUAGGCGGACAUUUAAGUCAGGGGUGAAAUCCCAGAGCUCAACUCUGGAACUGCCUUUGAUACUGGGUGUCUUGAGUGUGAUAGAGGUAUGUGGAACUCCGAGUGUAGAGGUGAAAUUCGUAGAUAUUCGGAAGAACACCAGUGGCGAAGGCGACAUACUGGAUCAUUACUGACGCUGAGGCUCGAAAGCGUGGGGAGCAAACAGGAUUAGAUAACCCGUGUAGUCCCUGUCUCUUAUA